GGCUUAGUAGCUCAGUUGGUUAGAGCGCGGGACUCAUAAGCCUGAGGUCGAGUGUUCAAAUCACUCCUGAGCCA
rnacentral:tRNA from 1 species